rnacentral:rRNA from 1 species
UAUGUCUGUAGUGAAAGCGUGGGGCUCAACCUCAUAUACAUUAUGGAAACUGCUCAGCUAGAGGACGAGAGAGGUACCUGGAAUUCCCAGUGUAGGAGUGAAAUCCGUAGAUAUUGGGAGGAACACCGAUGGCGUAGGCAGGGUACUGGCUCGUUCCUGACACUAAGGCACGAAAGCGUGGGAGCAAACGGGAUUAGAUACCCCGGUAGUCCACGCCGUAAACGAUGGAUGCUA